GUAACGAGCGCAACCCUUGUCCUUAGUUACCAGCACGUUAUGGUGGGCACUCUAAGGAGGACUGCCGGUGACAAACCGGAGGAAGGUGGGGAGUGACGUCAAGUCAUCAUGGCCCUUACGGCCUGGGCUACACACGUGCUACAAUGGUCGGUACAAAGGGUUGCCAAGCCGCGAGGUGGAGCUAAUCCCAUAAAACCGAUCGUAGUCCGGAUCGCAGUCUGCAACUCGACUGCGUGAAGUCGGAAUCGCUAGUAAUCGUGAAUCAGAAUGUCACGGUGAAUACGUUCCCGGGCCUU
rnacentral:rRNA from 1 species